rnacentral:piRNA from 1 species
UAGGAUAAUCAACUAAAAUGC